rnacentral:rRNA from 1 species
UACGUAGGGUGCAAGCGUUAAUCGGAAUUACUGGGCGUAAAGCGUGCGCAGGCGGUGAUGUAAGACAGAUGUGAAAUCCCCGGGCUCAACCUGGGAACUGCAUUUGUGACUGCAUCGCUGGAGUGCGGCAGAGGGGGAUGGAAUUCCGCGUGUAGCAGUGAAAUGCGUAGAGAUCGGAAAGAACACCAAUGGCGAAAGCACUCUGCUGGGCCGACACUGACACUGGAGAGACGAAAGCUAGGGGAGCAAAUGGG